AUAUGACGUUGAAGCACCGAACCUCGUACGAUCACAGAAGUUAAGCAACGUCGAGUUUGGUCAGUACUUAAAUGGGUGGCCGCAUGGGAAUACCAGGUUCUGUAAG